AUGAGAAGCUUUCCCCGGGAUUAAACCCCCGUCCUUUUAAAAUGGUCCAUAUCGUCGGUCGUCGUUAGUGGGUGUCAGUCACUUUGGUUACGUGCAGAACACACUGUUCUGCUGUGUCAAACGCGGCGAGGCAAUGCCAGGGCAAUACGAGGCUGUAACACAAGACUGCUUUCGUUUCUCUACAGUCCUCUACAUGUGCUAAAAGUCCAACAAAGCAUAACUACUUCAAAAAUGAAGUAAAAUUAUGCCCUUUAACUUUUUCUUCCAGGACCUUUUACGUAUGGGAGACCUGAAAUCAACAACGGACAAAUUUGUUACAUAGAGUGACCAGRAUGAAGAGAGAACUGAUUCAAUAGACUAGAAGAAAUGCAGGUGUCCACCAGAUGCUGCAUGCAGAUAGAGAGGCAAGCGAAGCCGGCAGAGAGGCAAGCAGACUGCACUGUCUCAGGUCUUGCCAGGAAAUGCAUUGGAUGGAGAUGUAACAUCCACUUCUAAUCAAGAUCCUGUGGGCAGGAUUGGAACAGCAAGUGGCUCUCCAGGGACAGUACAGACUGUAGGAUCAAAAAUGAUUUAUUUCUUUGUGCGUCAUGCAAACCAAUCACUUCUUGCCCGUGACAUCACAAUUAAACAUAAUUAACAUGAAGUGGCAUGACUUGCUAUGCUUUUUUUUACAUGUUGGAAGUUACUGGUGUAGCCCUUCACACGUAUCUUUAUACAGGUGGAAAAUGGCAGAUUUGGGCACUGAUAAAUGCCUAAAUUGGAACAUAAUGGCUGUACAGUAACAUGCUAUACAUGACGUCAAAGCUAUUGCUCUGCGCUUCACAGUGCUGUAUGGGUUUUGA